CUGCAGUGGCCUCAGGGACCUUGUGCAGUCAUGACUCCUGGGCCUCCCAGAGUGCAGCCAUGCAGGUGAGAUUUGGGAAAGCACCAGGUGCCUCUGCUGCCGUGACUCUGGGAGCAGGUGCUGGGCCAUCCUGCAGGCCCCUUCCACAUUGUUUGCAGCCUGCAGUUCCCAGAUUGUCUGUGUUUGCCUUGGUCUGCCAGCCCCUCCUCCCCAGAGCCAAGGUCCAGUCCUGACUCCUCAGCCCAUAGAGGAGCCCACUGGGGAUGGCUCUCCCUCUCUAGGGAGCUGCUCCUCUUUCUGCCCACGCUGCUGUUAGGAAUCCAAAUCAAAAUUCUGGGGCUAGGAGAGACCUCAGGGACCAUGGCCUUUGCUUAGCCUCCUUGUUAGACUGGGUUUUCCAGGAGAGAAGGUGACAGAGACCCAUCCAUCUUCAUGUCCUCAUGGCCCAUGUGACCCCAGGGGGUCUUUAUUGCUUGGCUGCUCCUUACCCCGUCUCAUCAAAAAUGGAUUAUGGAUACGUAUGCCAGUUUACAACCCUCCAUGGCUGCCCUCUGGCCAGACCUGCCUGGCCUCAAGACGUUCUUCUCCAUCCAUGCAUGCCUAGGCCUCCUGCUGCAGCUCAAGCCUGUAUCCUCCUUGAUUCUCCCCCACCCUGGUGGCGCCUUCCAGUGAGCAGGUUCAAAGAAUGCAGCACCAGAGCACCUCAGCACUGUCCUGCCAUGGCCUGGAUCUUUAGAGUGUGGUCCCUGGACUGGAAGCUUCAGCAUCAUCAUGGGGCUGUUUAG
rnacentral:lncRNA from 1 species